UCCAUCAUGUCUGUAAAAGAGUGAUUCUGAAAGCUCUGCAGCACGCAGCAGCCCCGUAGAACAGGCUGCCGAGUAAUGGCUGCUUGGUUGACUCUGAACACAUACAGAAACUGUGUGUGUGUGGCUCACUGGUCUCAUUUCUCAUCCUACAGCUGUGAUCUAGCCAGUCAACUUCUUACUUCUCAGGAUCCAAGAUAAGCACUUGGCCAAAACAAGAUCUCACAUGGCCCAAAUUCAGCAUCUGAAAACAGGAGAAUCUGCCAAUCACCAGUGCUGGAGUCUCCUUGCCAGGUUCAUAAUUAGAUAAAGCUGCAGCAUUGCCAACCAGCGAAUCUGACAGUCCUCUUGGGGAGAAAUUCAUUGUAAAAAGGAUUUAGAAGAGCCACGCAGAGAGUAGGGUUUGAUUACCUUCAUUUACAUAGAUGGAGAGAAACUUUUUAAGAGGCAAAAAGGGGAGAGCCCUGUGUGAACCUUUAGCCAGUUUUAUCAAGUUCAAGUUCAGGACAUAGCCCAUAUCAGAUCCCCCCAAAAAUUUACAUACAGUGUUCACAGGGCUGCUUGAAUAAGUCUUUUCCUUAAAGAUUAGCUGCACUUUAUUGAUACUGCGCAAUAUUGCAAGAUACUCUUGUGAGCAGCCCUCAGAUGGUCAUAUUAAACAUUAUUUUGAUAAGGAGA